rnacentral:lncRNA from 1 species
GAAUUUGGUUAGGUGGCUGAUGGAAUGAAGCAAAUUUCAAAGUGACGGAGUCUAAUGGAGUGCAAUGGCUCGAUCUCGGCUUACUGCGACCUCCGCCUCGCAGGUUCAAGCGAUUCCCCUGCCUCAGCCUCCCGAGUAGCUGGGACUACAGGCAUGCACCACCACGCCCAGCUAAUUUUUUGUAUUUUAGUAGAGACGGGGUUUCACCAUGUUGGCCAGUAUGGUCUCGAUCUCCCGACCUCGUGAUCUGCCCGCCUCAGCCUCCCAACGUGCUGGGAUU